CCUGCAGGAUGUUGUGUUCAAGAUAAGUAAUUCAUUGUUCCUCUGCACUGCAUUACUGCUCUAGGUGAACAAUGAAGCACUUGUUGAAUUAACUUGCAAUCAUAUUCCUCUUACACACUUUUAAACACUGCCUAUCAGCCAUCACAACUCAAUGGCAUCCUGUUCCCCUCACCUCCAGGUUGGUGAAGAAGAGUGGGUACAGCUCCUCCAUGGAACCCAGAGCCUCCUCCGGGAAACACAGGAUGAAAUUGCCACACGCCACACAAGCAGCUGAUGGAGGAGAGCUUGUUACUGAUUACAGAUCAAUAAAAGCUAAAAUUCAAAACUGGACAAGAUAUAAUUUGAAGAAAACACUGCCACUGGAUAAGGCCAGGAGUCAUCAGUGAAGCAGACUGUAAGGGCAUGCAGGAGGCGAGGGACAUGUUGCCUCACUGCGUCUGUGGUGAGCUUGAGGGCAAGUUCAGCAAUACAGGCACAAGCAGCUUCCCGCACUGCAUGGUUGUCUGCACCUGUUGCCUCAAUGUAGUAACUCACCUGAGGGAAGAACAGUAGCAAGUGAAUUUAAGUGCAAUGAUCCAAACUACAACUACAAGGGAAGAUCUGAGCAAGAGUAGCAUGAUGUCAAUAAAAACUGAUAUAUAAAUGGAAGAUAACAAGCAUUCUCUUACCACAGAAUCAAUGUACUUCUCCACCAGUGUCUUGCCCUCAGCACCAGUCACCUGCCGCCACGUCUCUUGGGAGUACAGACGAACACCUUCUGCUACGUAGUACCUGAUGGAUGUCAUUAAGGUAAGGUACACAUUACAUAGCUGCAAGAUGCACUUCUCUUCCUUGAAUAUAUGAGUUUAUUAUACCCCUACCUUACUAAUCUGUCAACCUCCUUUCUGGGAGUUUUGUGUGUGUGUGUGUGUGCGUGCGCGUGCCCACCUGUUGAGGCAGAGACGAGGCAGCAGUGUUGGGUAGAAGCGCUCACGGGCUGCAGAUGGCAGCGAGAUCAAGAACUUGCGUGUGGCCACUGAAGAUGCUAAACGGACCUGGGCAGACCCCACAGGAUGUCCCAACCCCCCUCCCAUGUCACUCACCACAGCCUUCAACCAUAAAAGCCACUCCCACUCACCUGACUCCAGUUGUCAGCAAGGCCUUUUCCAAGAUGCUGUGUCAGCUGAUCACCAAACGUAAACAUGGGGUUGCUCUCCAGCAGUUCAGCACCCUCUGUGGAGAGCCAAAAGCACAUCCUGCAGCAACUACAAGGCACCUGAUACAAGAGAGGCAGGUGCCACAUGGCUGUCACUCACCCUCAGCUCCACAGGACACCAGUGCUCCACACACACUGAAGCCCGUCUCCCUCACAAAGCGGUUGGUGUGGGUCAGAGCUUGAAAUAUGAGGUCCAGCAAUUCCUGAGGGUCAAGAAGAGGAUAAGGAAGCAAGUCUGUUGAAAAAAGGAUUAAGAGAAAGCACAUUUAUUUAAUUCUCUCUUCUUACCUGGUUGAUGAAGGAAAGGAACUUAUGUCCUGUCCCAAUAAUCAUGUGCUCCAGACACUUCAUGCUGGUCUCAAGAUUCCUCCAGCCAGCCGUGUCAUGGAAGAUUUGUGCUGCAUCUCCACUGUUUCUCUGCAAUUGUUAUUGAGGCACAUCAUUAUUCACAUGCGCACAUAAGCACAAACACACUGGGAUUGCUCAAAAUAAGGAUUAAAUAAAGUUGCUUACUAUG